UCUCUACUUACUCUCUCUACAAUAUACUACACUCUCUACUUACUCUCUCUACAAUAUACUACACUCUACUCUAUAUUAUUCAUUUAUUCUUCUCUACUCUACAAUCUCUCUUAUUAAGUAAUUAUUCUCUCUAAUUUUUUUUAUUCAAUUUUCCAAAUUAUAUUUUAUUAUCAUAUAAUGGCAAGUGGAGGAAACUCAAAUUCGGGUAAGGGCAAGGGAAAAAUUGGAGAAUCAUCUAUCCCUACAAACGACAUCUAUGAUAUGAUUCCCGACCAAUUUAAUUUUGAAGGUUUUCCAAAUGAAAAUUUCGAUAUUCUAACUCAAGAAUUCGAAUUUAAUGAGCAAUUUUAAGAAGAUGAAGAGCAAGAGCAAGAGCAACGAGCAAAAAUUGUUACAAGAGCAAGACAAAGUUCCGACAUAUUCUCCAUUCAUUUCACAAAAAAAUUCAAAGGUGAGAAAAUGUACGAUGUAAUUUGCAAUUAUUGUGGAAAAUCUUAUAAAUUUAAACAAGCGGGCGGCUAUGGAUCAUUU
rnacentral:lncRNA from 1 species